rnacentral:tRNA from 1 species
CGGGGCGUAGCGCAGCCCGGUAGCGCGCCUGCUUUGGGAGCAGGAUGUCGUAGGUUCAAAUCCUAUCGCCCCGA